AAGAGAGUAACAUAGUGGUUAAAAUGUAGUUAGCUUGAAACUAAUUGAAGGGGGUUCGAUUC
rnacentral:tRNA from 1 species